GAUGAACGCUGGCGGCGUGCCUAAUACAUGCAAGUCGUACGGAAAGGCCCUUCGGGGUACUCGAGUGGCGGACGGCUGAGUAACGCGUGGGAACGUGCCCCAAAGUGAGGGAUAACGCACCGAAAGGUGUGCUAAUACCGCAUAUGGUCUUCGGAUUAAAGCUUCGGCGCUUUGGGAGCGGCCCGCGUACGAUUAGAUAGUUGGUGAGGUAAUGGCUCACCAAGUCGACGAUCGUUAGCUGGUCUGAGAGGAUGAUCAGCCAGACUGGGACUGAGACACGGCCCAGACUCCUACGGGAGGCAGCAGUAAGGAAUCUUCCACAAUGGGGGCAACCCUGAUGGAGCAACGCCGCGUGCAGGAUGAAGGUUUUCGGAUCGUAAACUGCUUUUAUAAGUGAAGAAUAUGACGGUAACUUAUGAAUAAGGAUCGGCUAACUACGUGCCAGCCGCCGCAGUAAGAC
rnacentral:rRNA from 1 species